GUAGGUGGCAAGCGUUGUCCGGAAUUAUUGGGCGUAAAGUGCGCGCAGGCGGUUCUUUAAGUCUGAUGUGAAAGCCCACGGCUCAACCGUGGAGGGUCAUUGGAAACUGGAGAACUUGAGUACAGAAGAGGAAAGCGGAAUUCCACGUGUAGCGGUGAAAUGCGUAGAGAUGUGGAGGAACACCAGUGGCGAAGGCGGCUUUCUGGUCUGUAACUGACGCUGAGGCGCGAAAGCGUGGGGAGCAAACAGGAUUAGAUACCCUGGUAGUCCACGCCGUAAACGAUGAGUGCUAAGUGUUAGGGGGGUUUCCGCCCCCCUUAGUGCUGCGGCUAACGCAUUAAGCACUCCGCCUGGGGAUACGGCCGCAAGGCUG
rnacentral:rRNA from 1 species